UGCCGCCGUCCGGGUCGCUCCGCGCGGGGCGGGAGGCCGCCGCCUUCCACUGGCUGCGCGCGGCUGCUGCUAGCCCGUCAGGCGCGGUGGCCAAGUGGUAAGGCGUCGGUCUCGUAAACCGAAGAUCGCGGGUUCGAACCCCGUCCGUGCCUGCUCGAGGGAGCGCGGCUCGCGGUGAGCCCUGCGGCGUGGAAGCCGCCCGAGGCCGGGGUUUCGGCCGCUUUUUGUUCCCGGCCGCGGGGCUUCGGAGCGGUGCGGGUGCCGCGGGGUGGGCCGGCUGCGACGGCGGAGGAGCAGCGAAGCGAGGUGGGCCCGGCUGUGCGUCCGUGUCAGAAUCGGCCGCGGUCGGCGGGGGAGGCAGAAGCGAGCGGAGUCCGAGGUUUUGCUGGAGGACAGCGGUGUGGGUGCAGUAAAUCACGGCCAGACUGCAGAAUUGUGGAAGUUGUGAUGCUUUACAACGUGAUCUGCUUGUGAUGACAUCCAAAGUGAAUGCGGGGCUAAUCCUGCUCCCACCUCUCACCCAGACAGGGGCUGCGGUCACGUUCCCAGCACACGGGUUCUGCACGGUGUUUGUGGGAGGAGCUGCAGUCCAGAGACCUGACCUCAGGACGUGCUUGACAUCCAGUAUUGCCCGUGACGAGAGGAAGACAAGAGGCAACAUUGUAUGAGGCUACUGAAAAUAGCAAAUCAAACAGUUGGUCAGGAAACCAGCUGAGGACUGUGCCAUCCACUGAACCGGGAAGAGUCUCCAUUCCCUGGCUCACGCUCGUCCUUCCAUACAUGGAGGUACAGAAGAGAUGAUGAAAGCAUUCUGGUGUGCUGGGAUUCCCGUUCUCCUAUGGGAGUUUGUUCUAGUCUGCGUUCUCAUGGCUGUGCUGCUCAACUCGAUGUGGCUGUUCCUGCUGUGAUCUUCAGUGAACAUCACCGUGAUUGCUGACAGCUCGCAGAAACAGAACAUUUCAACUGCUUUUCUUAAAGCUCAACUCUAUGUAAAGGAGAAGUGACUAGAAACCCCAAACUGGGUCCUGGGUCUUGCUUAACUCUGUAGAGCACACUGACUUGCUG